CUGGUCAGCCCUCCUGUUAACUGAAUUCUUACUGGUUCCACCGUGAAGACCAGCUAGAAGUCACUUCUGACCUUCAGGUUCCUGUACUCCAUUUUACCAGAUUCCACCGUUUGCUGCUGAUGUGAUGUCGCUGAACAUGGAAUUGGGAAGGAACAUAAACCAGCUCUUUGUAGGUGGUACAAGUCAAUUCCAGUACUCUAUUGUCUGAUCCCCAAAGUUUUGAGGCAUGUGAUGUGGUGGAAAAAAAAUAUCAUCACCAGAGAGAAGAGUUUGAGAGCAGUGAGAGAAGCUGUAGGGAGUAUACUACUCAGCUCCUGAUUAAAGAAACAUCUAUAAUGGAAGCAAAUCAAGUCUGAAUUACAGUAGCAAAAGAAAAUUCUGUAUCCCCACGUCCUGUUUCUGCCUCUGAAAUGAUCGCUACUUCACAGACAGGUCAGUUGAAAUCUAAUAAAGGUCGUAAACCUGGAAGAGUUUCUAAUGAAAUGGCUGUGAUUCUAGGCACCUAUAAUCAUUAGUGUAAUUGGCCUGGUCUGCAGAAGCAGCAGGUGCUAGUCCCACGUGUCAUCUGGCCCAGGAACUCAGUCUGCUUCUAGUGGCUGUGGCUAUGCGGGUCUCAAGCCAUCAGAUCCCUAGGAAAAUAAACAGCAGCUACUUCCUUCUCACAAAGCACUGCCUCAGCUAGUCCAUUUUAUUGGUAAAAAGAAGGCUGAUGAGACCAAACUACACACAAAAGUGGGAAGGAAUUGAUCUUUGGCAUCAGAAAGGAAGACCUGGGUUCAAAUUCUGCUUCCACAGAGAACCAUCUCAGGUCUUCAUGUUACUGUGCGCAGAGGCUGGAGGGCUGGACACGGAGGACAAAGACCUCUGCUGUGGCAAAGGACCCACUGUGGCUUUAGAGUUCUUCACUGAAUCGAAGACGCCUCUGGAGUAAUUAGCAACAAAGUUGAUCGUCAUGCCGUCCACACGCAGGCCAGUCCAGACGCACCAUCGGUCCCUUCCUGCCUCUCUCUGUAGCCAUCUUUCUUCCUUGCGUUUAAGAAAAAAUAAAUGUUUUUGAUAUUAAUUAA